rnacentral:rRNA from 1 species
AACGCUAGCUACAGGCUUAACACAUGCAAGUCGAGGGGCAGCAUGGUCUUAGCUUGCUAAGGCCGAUGGCGACCGGCGCACGGGUGAGUAACACGUAUCCAACCUGCCGUCUACUCUUGGACAGCCUUCUGAAAGGAAGAUUAAUACAAGAUGGCAUCAUGAGUCCGCAUGUUCACAUGAUUAAAGGUAUUCCGGUAGACGAUGGGGAUGCGUUCCAUUAGAUAGUAGGCGGGGUAACGGCCCACCUAGUCUUCGAUGGAUAGGGGUUCUGAGAGGAAGGUCCCCCACAUUGGAACUGAGACACGGUCCAAACUCCUACGGGAGGCAGCAGUGAGGAAUAUUGGUCAAUGGGCGAGAGCCUGAACCAGCCAAGUAGCGUGAAGGAUGACUGCCCUAUGGGUUGUAAACUUCUUUUAUAAAGGAAUAAAGUCGGGUAUGGAUACCCGUUUGCAUGUACUUUAUGAAUAAGGAUCGGCUAACUCCGUGCCAGCAGCCGCGGUAAUACGGAGGAUCCGAGCGUUAUCCGGAUUUAUUGGGUUUAAAGGGAGCGUAGAUGGAUGUUUAAGUCAGUUGUGAAAGUUUGCGGCUCAACCGUAAAAUUGCAGUUGAUACUGGAUAUCUUGAGUGCAGUUGAGGUAGGCGGAAUUCGUGGUGUAGCGGUGAAAUGCUUAGAUAUCACGAAGAACUCCGAUUG